rnacentral:rRNA from 1 species
GUACGAGCGCAACCCUUGUCCUUAGUUACCAGCACGUUAUGGUGGGCACUCUAAGGAGACUGCCGGUGACAAACCGGAGGAAGGUGGGGAUGACGUCAAGUCAUCAUGGCCCUUACGGCCUGGGCUACACACGUGCUACAAUGGUCGGUACAAAGGGUUGCCAAGCCGCGAGGUGGAGCUAAUCCCAUAAAGCCGAUCGUAGUCCGGAUCGCAGUCUGCAACUCGACUGCGUGAAGUCGGAAUCGCUAGUAAUCGUGAAUCAGAAUGUCACGGUGAAUACGUUCCCGGGCCUU